AUGUCCAGCCGCCGUGAAGGUGGCAAGAAGAAGCCACUGAAACAGCCUAAGAAGCAGGCCAAGGAGAUGGACGAGGAAGAUAAGGCUUUCAAGCAGAAACGAAAAGAGGAGCAGAAGAAACUCGAGGAGCUAAAAGCGAAGGCCGCGGGGAAGGGGCCCUUGGCCACAGGUGGAAUUAGGAAAUCUGGCAAAAAGUAAGCUGUU